UUACUUACCUGGAUGAAAUCAAAAAAAUCAGAAAAUGUUACGGGUUGGUGACCACCAUUGCACGACGGAGGGGUGCCCGCCUAAGGUCUGCCCACGUGGCAGAGCCUACGUCAUGAUUUGUUGUAGUGGAGGCCUGCGUUCGCGCGGCCUUUAC